rnacentral:rRNA from 1 species
UUGGUGCCUUCGGGAACUCUGAGACAGGUGCUGCAUGGCUGUCGUCAGCUCGUGUUGUGAAAUGUUGGGUUAAGUCCCGCAACGAGCGCAACCCUUAUCCUUUGUUGCCAGCGGUUCGGCCGGGAACUCAAAGGAGACUGCCAGUGAUAAACUGGAGGAAGGUGGGGAUGACGUCAAGUCAUCAUGGCCCUUACGAGUAGGGCUACACACGUGCUACAAUGGCAUAUACAAAGAGAAGCGACCUCGCGAGAGCAAGCGGACCUCAUAAAGUAUGUCGUAGUCCGGAUUGGAGUCUGCAACUCGACUCCAUGAAGUCGGAAUCGCUAGUAAUCGUAGAUCAGAAUGCUACGGUGAAUACGUUCCCGGGCCUUGUACACACCGCCCGUCACACCAUGGGAGUGGGUUGCAAAAGAAGUAGGUAGCUUAACCUUCGGGAGGGCGCUUACCACUUUGUGAUUCAUGACUGGGGUGAAGUCGUAACAAGGUAACCGUAGGGGAACCUGCGGUUGGAUCACCUCCUUACCUAAAGA